rnacentral:rRNA from 1 species
GACGAACGCUGGCGGCGUGCCUAAUACAUGCAAGUUGAGCGCUGAAGGUUGGUACUUGUACCAACUGGAUGAGCAGCGAACGGGUGAGUAACGCGUGGGGAAUCUGCCUUUGAGCGGGGGACAACAUUUGGAAACGAAUGCUAAUACCGCAUAAAAUCUUUAAACACAAGUUUUAAGUUUGAAAGAUGCAAUUGCAUCACUCAAAGAUGAUCCCGCGUUGUAUUAGCUAGUUGGUGAGGUAAAGGCUCACCAAGGCGAUGAUACAUAGCCGACCUGAGAGGGUGAUCGGCCACAUUGGGACUGAGACACGGCCCAAACUCCUACGGGAGGCAGCAGUAGGGAAUCUUCGGCAAUGGACGAAAGUCUGACCGAGCAACGCCGCGUGAGUGAAGAAGGUUGUCGGGUCGUAAAACUCUGUUGGUAGAGAAGAACGUUGGUGAGAGUGGAAAGCUCAUCAAGUGACGGUAACUACACAGAAAGGGACGGCUAACUACGUG